CUUAGACAGAAUGCUAACAUUAACCUUUCUAAACCUCAGAGUUGUUUUAAUUGACAUUUCUCUAAUUGCUAAAGAUGCUAAAGCUUUAACGAUAAUCCUUAGCCAAGUUUUCAUCUCUGUUUGUUUGGUUUGGGUUUUUUUUUUUGUUGUUGUAGUUUUUUGUUUUUGUUUGUUUUUGAGAAUUCUCUAUUCAGAUCUGCAGCUACCCCCUCCCUCCAGCCAUUUUUAAACUGGAUCCUUAGCUUUCUUGAUUUUUUUUUUCUCUUCCUACAGUCUGGAUAGUUUAUCAAAUGAAUAGCUGCCAAAUGUUCCCUCCCACUCUGGGCUUCCUCUCUAGGAGCUUAUUGCUCCAUUUUCUGUACACAAGUAUUUUAGUUUUAUGAGGUCUCCUUUGUUAAUUGUUUGCCUUAAUUCAUAAUUGAAUGGGGUCCUGUUCAGAAAGUCUCUUGCUAUACCUAUAUGUUGUAGGGUAUCACCCAUGUAUUCUUAUAGCACUUCCAGCAUUACAAGUUUCGCAUUGAUCUAUUUGAUCCAUUUGAGGAUGAUUCUAGUUCAGGGUAAUACCUAUGGGCCUAAUUUCAGUCUUCUACAUGUGGCCAUUCAGUUUUCAAAGCACCAAUUACUGACGAUGUUGUCUCUUCUCCAGAGUGUAUUUUGGCAUCUUCAUCAAAUAUCAGACUGCUGUAAAACUACAUGCAUUCAUGUUUGGAUUUCUAUUUUGUUCUGUUGAUUUACUAGUCUGUUUUUGUGCCAUUACUGUGAUGAUGAAGAAGAAGAUGAUGAUGAUGAUAUUUGCUCAACCACGUUCAUCAUUGCUCUGUUCAUAGUAGCUGGAAAAUGGAAACAACCUAAAUGGUCUUCAGCUGAUGAAAGGAUAGUGAAAAUGUGGUGCCUACACACAAUGGAAUUCUAUAUCAGGUGAGAACAAAAUGGAAUCAUGAAAGUUGCAGAUAUAUGAAACUAGAAAAUAGUAUACUUAGUAAGGUAGUCCAGACCCAUAAAGACAAACGCUGCUUUCUCGCUCUGAUUUGUGGAUGCUAGAUUUGAAUCUUGAGAGGUGAGUGUAUAACCUGAAAUUAACACAGAAACCAUGAACGUUAAAGGAGAGAGUGGGAAGGGGUAAGAUGAGCUAUAAAGCAGGAGAGUAGAAUGAAUUGGGCAUUUAGAAAACCGAGGGGGCUUUAUGUGGCAGGAGGCACGGCAAUCCAGAGGAAAAGGGAGGGAACGGGAUAAAGAACACUAAACAGGAUUGAAAAGCCACAGCCAUUACAUAAGCAUUAUUUUGUGUUUCCUUAAACUACAUAUGUAAUAUAAUUAAGUCUAUGUAAAUGAAAAUGUAAUGAAGUACAGCAUGUGUAGUGACAAUGCUCUCUCCAAUUCAGACUACUUAACAAAAAUCAUUGGUGUCGGGUAUGGGACACUUCCCUUCAAGUUGUUGCUCAGAGGAGUUCAAGAGACCCCCCCCCCCAACAAUAAAAAGAUGUGGAAGGUUAGAACUUAAAGUCAAAAUUAGAAGCAGACCAGCUUGAAGGUGGUAGAUGAUAAAAAAAGAUAACACUGACAGGUGAGGAGUGAAUAAUGCCCUCUAGAACAAUUUGAUAUGGAGUAUAAAGGAGAAUUGGAAUCCUAGUAUGAACCACAGGCUUUCGAACAAAACGUGGAGGAGGGUGCUGUUACCGAGUUAGAAGACACAGGAGGAAAGAUGAGUGUCAUUUGAGAAGCUGAGUUGGAAAACCUUACUGGACUUAUAGAAUCGAUAAGGCAGACAGAGACCUGAGCAGAGAUAGAAAUUUGAUAGCAGGCACUAUUUAAUUGUGCUGUUCAUGAGGAAAAUAUUAAGACUGUAAAGGCUCAAAAUGAGACAAGGCAAGGAUAUAAUCAACUAUGAAUAGGCAGGAAAACAAAGACUAAAUAUGAAAAGAGUUGUCACUGAGACAUCAACAAAAUAUAAGGCAGAGUCUCACAAAAGCCAAAGGAUCAGAAAAGUUUUAGAAAUAAGUGAUGAACAAAGGCUAAUGCCCUGAAUAUACCAAAGGCAGUAAUGCUGAGAGGUAAUUGAAAUCAGAGGGUGUGGGGAAAAGAGGGUGUAGGGGACGGCGAUGGCACUAUCUAUAGGAAGUUCUGAGAAGUUGCAUAUAGGAGGAACUAUCAGGUCUAGGAACUCUGGAUUGUGGUAAAGGACAAAAACCUUAAAAUUGUAUUGUUUAUCCAUUUAUAAAUAAACAAUUCAACAGUGUUACAUAUAUUCAUGCUUUUCUAUGGCAGGUCUCUAGCAACUUUUUGUGUUGCAAAACUAAAAACUCCAUGUUUACUAAACAACGAAUCCCCAUUUCCCUUUCUGCCAAGGUGCUGAAGUCACUAUUCCGUUUUUGAGUUUGGCUGUGUUAGAUACUGCA
rnacentral:sRNA from 1 species